CCUACGGGAGGCUGCAGUGGGGAAUAUUGCUCAAUGGGGGAGACCCUGAUGCAGCGACGCAGCGUGAACGAUGAAGUAUCUCGGUAUGUAAAGCUCUAUCAGUAGGGAAGAAAAUGACGGUACCUGACUAAGAAGCCCUGGCUAACUACGAGCCAGCAGCCGCGGUAAUACGCAGGGGGCCAGCGUUAUCCGGAUUUACUGGGUGUAAGGGGAGCGUAGACGGUCCUGCAAGCCAGAUGUGAAAGUGCGCGGCUCAACCCCAGGACUGCAUUUGAAACUGUAAGGCUAGAGUGUCGGAGAGGCAGGCGGAAUUCGUAGUGUAGCGGUGAUAUGCGUAGAUAUUAGGAGGAACACCAGUUGCGAAGGCGGCCUGCUGGACGAUGACUGACGUUGAGGCUCGAAAGCGUGGGGAGCAAACAGGAUUAGAUACCCUUGUAGUC
rnacentral:rRNA from 1 species